GCCACUCCACCCGCACCGAACCAAUGGCGGACGCCGCCACCUCCGAGGAUGCCGACCUGCCGCCCCCACCUCCGCCGGCGCAGCUCCCGCCUCCUCGCCGCCCGCACAAGCGGCUUCAGCCGCGGGGGUACCAGGUGGAGGUGUUCGCUGCGGCGCUGCGCGGGAACACCAUCGCGGUGCUAGACACUGGCUCUGGGAAAACCAUGGUCGCUAUCAUGCUCGCGCGGGAGCACGUCCUCCGCGCGCGCGCUGGGGAGGCGCUGCGCCGGAUCGUGGUAUUCCUCGCGCCCACCGUGCACCUCGUCCACCAGCAAUUCGAGGUGAUUCGGGAGUAUACAGACCUCGACGCGGUGGAGUGCCAUGGGGCAUCGGGGGUUGGCCACUGGAACGCCAAGCGCUGGAAGGAAGCAAUUGGGACUAAGGAGAUUGUUGUUAUGACACCACAGAUACUAUUGGAUGCUCUCAGGCAUGCUUUUCUAACAAUGCGUGUGAUGAGCUUGUUAAUAUUUGAUGAAUGCCAUCGUGCUUGUGGAAACCAUCCAUACUCACUAAUAAUGAAGGAAUUUUACAUUGAUUCGGAGUGGAGGCCAGCUAUAUUUGGAAUGACGGCGUCUCCAGUUUCUAAAAAGGGAGCUUCUACUAUAGAAGAUUGUGAAGCACAGAUUGCUCAACUUGAGCUAGUAUUGGAUGCCAAGGUAUAUAUUGUUGAAGAUAGGAAUGAACUUGAGAGCUUUUCAACUGGUGCAAAAGUUGUGAAUAAAUACUAUGACCCUUACUUGUUUGAUUUGGAUAAUCUGGAAUCAAAGUUACAGAUGCUGUUUGAGGAGUUUGAUGGUUUGUUGGUUAGACUGCAAGAAUCAUCUCCUAAUAAAUUUGAAGACACUGAUAGUAUAUUGGAGAUGUCGAGAAAGAGCUUGUCCAGAUGCCAUGGGAAGAUAUUGUACGAACUAAAUACUCUUGGUCCAAUUGUUACUUUGGAGGUGGUGAAGAUAUAUAAUGAAAGCAUUAAUACCAUAGAUGAUUCUGAAGAUUGCGUAUUUUCUAAAGAGAGCCUCAACUUACAGGUUUCCUAUUUCAAAGAAGCUUUAUUUUUGAUUGAAGAUUUUUUGCCACAGGGUUAUGGGGAGCUGAUGAAAUCAGAAUCUGGUUCUGCGGAACUAACUAAGAAGGGAUAUAUUUCUUCUAAAGUGGAGUCACUGAUCAACAUUUUCAAAUCGUUUGGCUCGUCAGAGGAAGUGCUUUGCAUGAUUUUUGUAGAAAGAAUUACGACAGCCAAAGCUGUUGAAAGGUUUAUGAGAGGAAAUGUGAACUUCUCUCGUUUUUCAAUUUCAUACUUGACUGGAGGGAGUACAUCAAAAGAUGCUUUGAGCCCAGCAGUACAAAGAUUUACUUUGGAUUUGUUCCGAGCUGGGAAGGUGAAUUUGCUUUUUACAACAGAUGUCACUGAAGAGGGUAUUGAUGUACCUAACUGUUCCUGUGUGAUACGUUUUGACUUACCCAGAACUGUUUGUAGCUAUGUCCAGUCUCGUGGGCGUGCCAGAAAAAGCAGUUCAAGUUAUGUUCUUAUGAUUGAAAGGGGUAACUUGGCGCAGCAGGAACACAUAUUUCGUAUAAUACGAACUGAAUACUAUGUUAAAACCUUUGCACUGCAUAAACAACCAAAUACUCCAUCACUUGAUUUGCCUCUCCAAGAGAAGUACAUAUACCAUGUUGAAUCAACAGGAGCAACUAUCACCGCAGAAUGCUGUGUCAACCUAAUUUAUAAAUAUUGUGAGAAGCUUCCUAAAGAUAGGUAUUACUUGCCAAAGCCUUGCUUUGAGGUGGGUCUUAAGGAUGGGUCAUAUCAAUGUACCUUGACAAUGCCUCACAAUGCUGCAUUUCGAAGUAUAGUUGGUCCUCCAAGUAGUUCAUGUAAUUUAGCCAAGCAGCUUGUAUGCCUGGAGGCAUGCAAGAAACUGCACGAGCUGGGAGAACUCGAUGAUCAUCUAGUACCCUUGACUGAAGAGCCUAUGGAUAUUGAUACAGACACAACAGAUAAAAAAUGUGUUUCUGGACCAGGAACAACUAAACGAAAGGAGCUUCAUGGAACGAUAAAUGUUCAUGGUCUAUCUGGAAACUGGAUCCAUGAAAGUGAAACUGUGAUUCUGAAUGCUUACACAUUUGAUUUUCGUUGUGAUCAAGAAGGUGAACUUUAUGCUGGGUUCGUUCUCUUAAUGGAAUCAGUACUUGAUGAUGAUGUGGCACGUUCAGAGAUAGAUCUCUUCCUUAUACCUAAUAAAAUGGUGUACACCACCAUGACUCCUUGUGGAAAAAUUCAACUGAACAAAGAGCAGCUGUGUAAAGGAAAAUUAUUCCAAGAAUUCUUCUUCAAUGGUAUAUUUGGUAGAUUAUUUCAUGGUUCCCGAACGGAUGAACUGCAAAGGGAAUUUAUUUUCACAAAAGGUCAUGAAAUACAAUGGGGCUCAGACAACAUGUACUUACUUUUGCCUUUGAGGAACUCUUCACAGAUACAACAUGAUCCAAACAUAUACUGGGAAGCCGUUGAGUCUUGCUCUGGUACAGUAGAGCAGUUGAGAAAUUUGUAUCUAGAAGAUGGAAAUCUCAACCAUGAAAACUUAUGUUCACAUAAAAGAAGCAACAAGGGAGAAGACAUCAUUCAUCUGGCCAAUAAAUCUCUUCAUUUUUCCACAGUCAAAGAUUCAGUUGUACUAUCUCUUCAUACUGGGAGGAUCUAUUCUGUUCUUGACUUGAUUUUAGAUAAAACUGCAGAUGACUCAUUUGAUGAGAUGUAUAAUGGGAAAGCUUCACCAUUUGCUUCAUUUGUGGACUACUACCAUCAAAAGUAUGGUAUUGUUAUUCAACAUCCAGGGCAACCUUUGUUGCUGUUAAAGCAAAGUCACAAUGCACACAACUUACUUUUUUCAAAAAUGAAGUACCAAGAUGGUUCAACUGGCAAUCCUCUGCUCGUAGAAAAAGAGCAAAUUCAUGCCCGAGUUCCACCUGAACUACUCAUCCAUAUUGAUGUCGCAACUGAUAUUCUCAAAUCAUUUUACUUGCUCCCUUCUGUAAUGCAUCGGGUUCAGUCUUUAAUGUUAGCCAGCCAGCUUCGCAGCAACAUUAGUUACAUUCAACGCAUACCAAGUUCUCUGAUUUUGGAAGCUAUAACAACUUUAAGGUGCUGCGAGUCCUUUUCUCUGGAGCGGUUAGAGUUAUUAGGAGACUCAGUACUGAAAUAUGUAAUAGGAUGUGAUCUGUUCCUAAGAUACCCAAUGAAACAUGAAGGCCAUCUCUCUGAUAUGAGAUCCAAGGCGGUAUGCAAUGCGACACUGCAUAAACAUGGAAUAUGGCAAUCCCUGCAGGGUUAUAUACGUGAUGCUGCAUUUGACCCUCGUCGUUGGGUUGCUCCUGGACAGAUAUCAUUGCGCCCUUUUCCUUGUAAUUGUGGAAUCGAAACUGCAUUUGUUCCUUUUAAUGGAGGUUAUAUCAGUGACGAUCCAUCUUUUGUUGUGGGAAAACCAUGUGACAGAGGCCACAGAUGGAUGUGCUCAAAAACAGUAUCUGAUUGUGUUGAAGCACUAGUUGGAGCAUAUUAUGUUGGUGGUGGCAUCGCUGCUGCAAUUUGGGUUAUGAGGUGGUUUGGUAUUGAUGUCAGGUGUGAUAUGGAACUAGUGCAGAAAGCAAAAUAUAAUUCUAAUGCAUCUCGAAUGUGCUAUUUAUCAAAAAUAAAAGAUAUUGAGGAACUGGAAGCAAAACUGAAGUACAACUUCUCGGUCAAAGGCCUUCUGCUUGAAGCCAUAUCACAUCCAUCUGUACAGGAAUUAGGAGUUGACUAUUGUUACCAGCGUCUGGAAUUUCUUGGUGAUUCUGUGCUGGAUCUAUUAAUCACACAGCAUCUCUAUGCUACCCACACUGAUGUUGAUCCUGGAGAAUUGACAGACCUGCGUUCCGCUUCGGUUAGUAAUGAGAAUUUUGCACAAGCAGUUGUAAGAAACAAUAUUCAUAAUCAUCUACAGCAUGGAUCUGGAAUACUUUUGGAACAAGUAACAGAAUAUGUCAGGUCCAACUUGGAGUACCAUGGUAAAGAGAAUCAAUUCCUUCAACAAGCUACAUGCAAAGCACCUAAGGUUCUUGGAGACAUCAUGGAAAGUAUUACUGGUGCAAUAUUUAUAGAUGUAAAUUUUGAUGUUGAUCUGGUUUGGAAGAUUGUUGAACCGUUACUUUCUCCAAUGAUUACCCCUGAUAAGCUUGCGUUGCCACCUUAUCGGGAGUUGCUGGAGUUAUGUAGUCACCUUGGUUGCUUCAUAGAGUCAAAAUGUACUAGUGAAGGAGAAGAGUUAAUUAUUGAGAUGAAGGUGCAGUUGCGAGAUGAACAACUGAUAGCACAAGGACAUGACAGAAAUGGUAAAACCGCAAAGGCAAAUGCAGCAGCCCGAAUUUUGGUCGACAUGAAGAAACGGGGUCUCUCUCUUAAACAAUGCAUCUCGAAGGCUAAUCAAUUGGAUAUUGUCUCUUCAAAACUGCAAUCAGAAUUGACAAAUUUGGAAUCGCGACAUGAUUGUCCUCACAUGAAUGGCACUCUUAGCCUAGGUCUUUCCUCAGCGAGAGCAGCAGUUGUUCUUCCUCUCAAAAUGGACAAAGGUGGACCUCGGACUGCACUUUUUAGGCUAUGCAAGAGUUUACAGUGGCCAAUUCCAGAAUUUGAAUUUGUGGAACAAAGGUUUAGGUAUGCCAAGUAAUACCCAAACAUUACUUUCUUGUAAAAGAAUGUCAAACUUCAUUCACAAGAGCUUUGGGGAUUCAUAUUCAGGCCCCGUUUGGUUUGAGGGACUAAAGAUUAGUCUCUCCAUUUUAGUCACAUUUCGUCUCUAAAUUGCCAAACAGUGGGACUAAAACAGGGACUAAAUUGUUUUAGUCUCUAGUCUCUCAAUGAGUGACUAAAAGGGACUAAACCAUAUUAAUUUCAUUUUUUGCCCCUUCUUUAUUUCAGUUGCACUAUUGGCAGGAGAAUGCUAAGGGGUAUUUUAGUCAUCUUAUGAUUCAUUUAGUGCAUUCUGAAAAUUUUAGUCCUUAGAACCAAACAGGGUAGAGACUGAACUUUAGUCCCCCUAACUAAACUUUAGUAUCUGGACUAAAGGAACAAAACGGGUCCUAAGUUUUUCUAUUUCUUUGUCUUUAGCUUUUAAUAAUAAUGGUUCAAACAAGACUACCUUUAGAAAGUUAGUUGGUUUAGGCAAUCUAAUUUCUCAACUAUGACCUCUAUAUUUCUUCUAGUCAAAACCUAUGCAAAAAGUAUACUAUUUUAUGUGCAAUACAACUUUGACUAAGUGUUGUUAUCUUUACCACAAAAAGUUAUGCAACAUAGGUUCCAAAUAUAUCUACUAGCCUAUAACUAAGCUAGUAUGGUAAAUCACACAACCAAAAAACAUAGUAUAAAUGUGGAAGCUUAAAUACGAUAGAGAUAUAAACUCUUGAUGACGACUUUGGUAUUUUAUCGAGAUAUCGCGAACCACGCAAGCUUUCUCAUAAUCUUGUUGGAGCCCCAUGCAAGGGAAACCCACGCGAGGGCCAAGCUUCUGGUUAGGUAACUCUAUGAGCAUCUCAGGCUUUCUUCAUGCGCAAGUGGUGCUCUAGUUGUGGCAUGGCGGUUAUUGAAGUGUAUAAGUGGAUUGUCUACCUUCUUUUAAGGGCUUAAUAUUUUAGGUUGAACUGUUUAGUGUGUCCACUGUAACAUGAUAUUAGAGCCAGAGGUCUCGAGUUCUAAUCCUGGUAGGUGCCUCUUCUUUAUUCCCAUGUUCGCGCCUUUCUCUUUAGUUGCACAUGAGUGAGGGUGUUGAAGUGUAUAAUGGAUUGCCUACCUUCUCCUAAAAGUUUAAGCUUUUGGGUUAAACUGGUUAGUACGUCCACUCUAAUAGCGACCACACCAUAAAUACAGACUUACAGCCCCUCACGGUACAACUCAAUACAAUGGUACACACAAGAACCAAGAGACAAUAGGUGUGUCUAACCUCACUUUUAAUGACCAGACCUAAACCCAGAGCAUAUGCUAAUGAUAGCGGUCUAACUAACCCAAGCACUUUGCAAAGCACAUCCGCUAAUCACAGAUUGAUUCCUUAAGCACUUUGGUGUCUAAAGCUAUUAUAUUUCAGUCUCAACUCAAUGUUUAUCUUUCUUAGCUCCCAACUUACUUAAAUGGUUAGUUGGGUGGAUAUAUAUAGCCUCGAACACCAGAACUAGCCAUUGGAAAAAGUUGUCAACCAUUUGUUUACUAUGGAACAGUUUGAUGGCCUAUUGUCAUACCAUUUCUUAUGAUCCGAUGCUUUCUGAUCGCACCAUGUGUACUAAUCGUUUGAUUCUGUCUAUUACAAUCCAGCUAGUUGAGAAUUUUGUCUCACUCCCUCUAGUCUGAUGCUCGGCGAACUAUAGUCUCCAUGGUCUGAUGCCUUGCAGACAGCUCCUGAAGAGCUUCUAGACACCGCCGGACUAGUUCGGCGACCUCAUUUGGAUUAUAGUCUAUAGUUUGAUGCCUCCCCACCUUUUACACUAACAUGUGAAGCCUCUUAGUGAAUAAUGUCUUGUUUGGUCCAAUGUUGUUCAGGCCAUGAUCCAACGGUUGCAUCCGACACGUCUAUGAGAAGAAUAGUAUGAUAUUAUGGACUCCUAUUGUUCUGGAUGGGGUUACAACUACAAACUUCAAUAGCUUCGUUUCAACUAUCACCUUGCACAUACCUGAUGUGACGGUCAUUACACUUCAAGGUGAGCCCCGGACUGACAAGAAGAGGUCUCAAGACUCAGCGUCUCUGCUAAUGCUUAAGAAAUUCGAAGAACUCGGAGUCUGCAUAUGCGAGACGCAGCCAAGCAACAUGGAUAAUAAUAAUAAUGCCAGUUAAUGGACAACACUGAUUAAUGUUGGGGUUACUAUCUCCCUCCCAAUGUGAUUUCUGUUGAAAAUGUUUGUGAGACACUCGAUACUCCGUAAAGUAUUUGCUGGUACAGUACAUUGCCAUUUAUUGACUUAGACUGAGCUUACCAAUAUGAAUAAAUGGAGAUGCAAAACA